GCUUCUGUGGCCAAGCGGUAAGGCGUCUCACUCGUAAUGAGAAGAUCCUCGGUUCGAUUCCGAGUAGGAGCA